AUCUUUUUAAUAUACUAAGUAUAUUUGGCUUCCAACCAAAAAGUCUAAGAACUCUUAGAAAAGAUA
rnacentral:tRNA from 1 species